rnacentral:snRNA from 1 species
AUCAAACUUGUUAUAUAUUCCCU